GAUGAACGCUGGCGGCGUGCCUAAUACAUGCAAGUCGAGCGAACAGACGAGGAGCUUGCUCCUUUGACGUUAGCGGCGGACGGGUGAGUAACACGUAGGUAACCUACCUAUAAGACUGGGAUAACUUCGGGAAACCGGAGCUAAUACCGGAUAAUAUUUCGAACCGCAUGGUUCGAUAGUGAAAGAUGGCUUUGCUAUCACUUAUAGAUGGACCUGCGCCGUAUUAGCUAGUUGGUAAGGUAACGGCUUACCAAGGCAACGAUACGUAGCCGACCUGAGAGGGUGAUCGGCCACACUGGAACUGAGACACGGUCCAGACUCCUACGGGAGGCAGCAGUAGGGAAUCUUCCGCAGUGGGCGAAAGCCUGACGGAGCAACGCCGCGUGAGUGAUGAAGGUCUUCGGAUCGUAAAACUCUGUUAUUAGGGAAGAACAAACGUGUAAGUAACUGUGCACGUCUUGACGGUACCUAAUCAGAAAGCCACGGCUAACUACGUG
rnacentral:rRNA from 1 species